rnacentral:lncRNA from 1 species
AGGGGAGGCUGGAGGCAGGCGGAGAGGGCCCGCAGGAGAUAGAAAAAACUGGAGGCGCCCACCGAUACCCUCUCUCCUGGAGCCCGGGGCGCGCACCAACUCUUAGGCUAACCCCUCGGCCUCCCGCCUCUCUCUUCCCAACUUCCACUCCAGCCCAGUGAAAAACCUGUGACUUUAGAUGCAAUCGGUACUAUUAAUAAAUAGCACCUAGGAGGGCACCGAGACCGGCACACAGCUGGAAGCUAGCCUCUGUCCCAGAGAAAGCAGUGCGGUAUGGGCCUAGCGGGGCCGACUUCUGUGCACAGGCCGGGAAGCAAUAAAGGUUCGGAACUGCUCCAGACCCGGAGGACCCCGCCGGGCACUCUGGAUAACCUCCCCACUCCACUUCCAGGGUCCGAAAACACGGGACGUCUGCGACUGGCCGGUGUCCAGCACGCGCACUAGGACCGCCCCCGGCGCCCACCUCUAGUCUCCCGCAUACCCGGCGGGCUUCGGGACGCCUACAAAUCGGUUCCAGGUAAUCGCGCGCGUUCCUCCGGCAGCACAUCGCCAGGCCGCGGGCGAAGGGCUCCCACCUCCUGGCUCGGCCAACUCUGGCAGCUUGUUCUGCACACAUGACGUAACCCGGCAUUAGAUCAAACUUUCUGGCACCUUGAACCCACUGGGGUGGGUGGAGGGAUGGAGAAGAUGGGAGAAUCCUCUCCACUGCCAGGCGCGCCGGGCCCAGACUGACUCAGGGGCCGAAUGAUUUCCUCGCAGUUGAAGAGGAAAAUAAAAACCUAAAGCUUCCGCUUCCCAGCCCCCCUCACUUCCCCCAGCCCGUGCGCUCUCUCUGCGCGCACCGGGAAAAGAGAAGGGAAAAUUAAAAUUAAAAAAAAAAAAAAAAAAAAAAAAACUUUGGGGGAUGUUUGGCGGGUUCUCUCCGCAGUCCCUGCGGACCCACGCUCCAGGAAGGAGCUCCCGGCUGCGCACACUGGGGGCUCCCCGCGCCGGGAACCGGAUGCCAGCCAGAUGCCGGGGCUGGGAAGCAGAGAAGUCCCUACUCCCCGGCUCCCGCCCUUUUCCGAGUCUCCCGGCGCCCCGCAGAAGCAGUUGGUCUAGGCAGCCCCGGGGACUCCCAGGGGUACCUGGCCUUUCCGCGGCGGCUUAACAAAGAGGGGCGCGACGCGAGCGCUUCCCGCCGACGCCUCAAGCCAUCAGCGCCCGGGCGACGCAGGCUCCGAGGGUGCGCGCCGCCAGCGGUUGGUGCGCGCCGAUCCCCGCCGCCGCUCCUUCCGCAGGGCCCCGAGGCCCGGGUAGCCCUGGCUCUCCGCCUGUUAUCGGCUUACCUGGGGUUGCUGCUGUUCCAGUAGACAGCGUAGCGGUCGGCGACGGCCUUGGAGCCCGGGUCCUGGCUGAACACACACAUCCAGAGCACCAGAAACACCAGCGUCAACAUCUCCACGUGCAACAUCACGCCUGGCCAGCGGCGGAGCCCCCGACGCGCCACUCCGGGGAGAGAGCGGGGAUCCGGAGGGAGGGAGGCAGGCA